ANGNUAGAGCCUACCAUGGUGGUAACGGGUAACGGGGUGUUAGGGCACGACACCGGAGAGGGAGCCUGAGAAACGGCUACCACAUCCAAGGAUGGCAGCAGGCGCGCAAAUUACCCAAUCCCGACACGGGGAGGUAGUGACAAUAAAUAACAAUACGGGGUUCUUUCGGAUCUCGUAAUCGGAAUGAGUACAAUUUAAAUCUCUCUUAACGAGGAACAAUUGGAGGGCAAGUCUGGUGCCAGCAGCCGCGGUAAUUCCAGCUCCAAUAGCGUAUAUUAAAGUUGUUGCAGUUAAAAAGCUCGUAGUUGAAUUUCGGGGUUAGUAAGUUGGUCAUGCCUCCGGUAUGUACUGGCUUUACUGAUUCCUCCUUCUUGAUGAACUGUAAUGUCAUUAAUUUGGUGUUGCAGGGAAUCAGGACUGUUACUUUGAAAAAAUUAGAGUGUUUAAAGCAGGCAUACGCUUGAAUACAUUAGCAUGGAAUAAUGAAAUAGGACGUUUGAUCCUAUUUUGUUGGUUUCUAGGAUUGACGUAAUGAUUAAUAGGGGAUAGUUGGGGGCAUUAGUAUUCAAUUGUCAGAGGUGAAAUUCUUGGAUUUAUUGAAGACUAACUACUGCGAAAGCAUUUGCCAAGGAUGUUUUCAUUAAUCAAGAACGAAAGUUAGGGGAUCGAAGACGAUCAGAUACCGUCGUAGUCUUAACCAUAAACUAUGCCGACUAGGGAUCGGAUGAUGUUAUUUUUAAUGACUCAUCGGCGCCUACNGACAAG
rnacentral:rRNA from 1 species